rnacentral:rRNA from 1 species
CUACGGGUUGCAGCAGUGAGGAAUAUUGCACAAUGGGGGGAACCCUGAUGCAGCAACGCCGCGUGGAGGAUGACGCAUUUCGGUGUGUAAACUCCUUUUAUAUGUCAAGAAAAUGACGGUAGCAUAUGAAUAAGCACCGGCUAACUCCGUGCCAGCAGCCGCGGUAAUACGGGGGGGGCAAGCGUUGUCCGGAUUCACUGGGCGUAAAGGGUGUCUAGGUGGGCUUUCAAGUCAGAGGUGAAAUACAUCAGCUUAACUGAUGGAGCGCCUUUGAUACUGUUAGUCUUGAGUGCGGUAAGGGAGAGCGGAAUUCCUGGUGUAGCGGUGGAAUGUGUAGAUAUCAGGAAGAACACCGGUGGCGUAGGCGGCUCUCUAGACCGAUACUGACACUGAAGCACGAAAGCGUGGGGAGCGAACAGGAUUAGAUACCCCAGUAGUC